ACUCCUACGGGAGGCAGCAGUGGGGAAUAUUGCACAAUGGGCGCAAGCCUGAUGCAGCCAUGCCGCGUGUGUGAAGAAGGCCUUCGGGUUGUAAAGCACUUUCAGCGGGGAGGAAGGGUCACUAGUUAAUACCUAGUGACAUUGACGUUACUCGCAGAAGAAGCACCGGCUAACUCCGUGCCAGCAGCCGCGGUAAUACA
rnacentral:rRNA from 1 species